rnacentral:lncRNA from 12 species
CUUUCAUUCUCUAGAACAAUUCUUGCUCCUGAUUUCAGUGGAUUUUCUCAUUUGACAAUGUGUCAGCUGUGACUUCUCAACUACUGUGUGUUGCAAUGAGCUAAGCAGUGGAAUUUGUGGUGACAUCUAAUGUUGCUCUCUGGGAUAAAUUUAGCAAUUCACGAAGUCCAAGCAGCGCAGGAGAAAUGGAGUCCUGCAUCCCUGCAAAUGAGACACAGCAGAAACUCUGUUGAUCUUUCUUCCCAAGAUCGUGCAUUAACAGCAUUCUGAUAGGACUAAGGUAAGAAAGUUUGA